GGGGUUGUGGCACAGUGGUAGAGCGCUCACCUCACAUGUGCGAGGUCCUGGGUUCCAUCCUCAGCACCACA
rnacentral:tRNA from 1 species